rfam:Oryza meridionalis cultivar OR44 (W2112) chromosome 8, whole genome shotgun sequence.
AAUCAUAUUGAUCCANGGUUUCCGUGUCCAACGUUUGACUGUCCGUAUUAUAUGAAAAAUUUUUUAUAAUUAGCAUCUUCAUUGUUGUUAGAUGAUAAAAUAUGAUUAAUACUUUAUACGUGACUUGUCUUUUUAUUUUUUUUCAUACUUUUUUAAAUAAAAUGGACGGUCAAAUGUUGGUCAUGAAAAUGGGUUCAUUUUUU